GCGCCGCGGGCUCUAAAAGCUCGACUGUCGGCCGGGCGCUGUGGCGCACGCCUGUAAUCCCAGCACUUUGGGAGGGCAAGGUGGGUGGAUCAAAGUUCGCGACCAGCCUGACCAACAUGGUGAAACUACGUCUCUACUAAAUUAGCCAGGCGUAGUGGCUCAUGCCUAUAAUCCGAGCUACUUGGGAGGCUGAGACAGGAGACUCGCUUGUACCCGGCAGGCGGAGGUUGCAGUGAGCCAAGAUUGCGCCAUUGCACUCCAGCCUCGGCAACAAGAGCGAAACUCCGUCUCAAAAAAAAAAAAAGCUCAACUGUGGGCCUGCGACCUUCACGCGCCAGCGCUGGAGAGGUGCCAGGCUCCCUGGGGCCGAGACCGGGGCAGAGGACGACACUUCGUCUGGCCGCCUAGCCUCGGCCUCUAAGCUUCCUGCAUCUUCUUCAUCGUAGGUGAUGUUGGACGUGACAGAGGAGGUGACAGGUCACCCUGAGUGCGGGACUCCGUGUCCAGAAGGAAGUGGGCCUCCAGGUGCCACGCCUUUGCUUCUGCUGUGGCAUCUGAUGAGUUCCCUGUUCAUCUCUCCAGGCAUUCCCAGGGCAGUCAGCCCUGAUGCCCAGGGGCUAGGCUUGCAAGACCGCGCAUUAGGUUCGCAGAGCUAGAGUGCAAGGCCAGACCUGGUACCAACAGCAUCUCCGCCUUCGUCCUCAUCUGGUUCCCGCCUCAAACCUGUACCUGUGCGGAGGAGCCUGGAAGUUCUCCAGAACAUGAGAGCCCUUCAUGCCUAAUCUUGGCUUCCUGCUGAUAGACUUUUAAAGGGGUGUGAGUUGGCCAGCCAUGGACCUGGGUACGCUUCCAGUGGCCACAGAUGUGAACACAAUGCUGAGAGCAAUGGAAAUGUAAGCAAAGUAACAUGUAUGCUUGGUGAACAAUCAGAAGUAUGAAAUACGAGAAACCAAACCUGCCUGAUUGAUAAGAAUGGGGGGCCGGGUGCAGCGGCUCACGCUUGUAAUCCCAGCACUUUGGGAGGCUGAGGCAGGCGGAUCAUGAGGUCAGGAGUUCAAGACCAGCCUGACCAAUAUGGUGAAACCCUGUCUCUACUGAAAAUAAAAAAUUAGCCAGGUGUGGUGGCGCACACCUGUAAUCCCAGCUACUUAGGAGGCUGAGGCAGGAAAAUUGCUUGGAGGCGGAGGCUGCAGUGAGCCGAGAUCGCGCCACUGCACUCAGGCCUGGGAGACAGAGUGAGACUCUGUCUCAAAAAAACAAAACAAAAAACAAACAGAAAAAAUGGGGGGUAGGGGGUUUGAGGAGCACAAGGCUUGGACCUACUAGACCUGGAGAUUUGGGGAACGAGGGAUGCCAGCCAUGUUCCUUGUACUGUAUGCAAAAGGGAAGUAACAAGUAUUGAAUGUUCACUUACCUCUUUCAUUCCCCAAUAUGAAAUAGAUAUUCCCAUUUGCAAAAAAAAAAAAACAAAAAACAAAAAACAAAAAAAAAGAAGGCUCAGGAGAACUAGAAAGCAGAUGAAACAAAGAGGACUUCAUUCAGUACCAGAUGAAUUUAGUAUUUCUAUGUAUGUAUGUGGGUCUCCUAAUUUGAUUUUCAAAUUGUUCUUUAGAAAGAUUUUUAGCUAUAUUAAGAUUUCUUAAAAAGCUGGGCCAUGCCAGGCAGGGUGGCUCAUGCCUACAGUCCCAGCCACUCAGGAGGCUGAGGCGGGAGGAUCACUUAGCCCAAGAAAGGCUGCAGUGAGCUAUGACCAUGCCACUGCACUCCAGCCUGGGCAACAGUGAGACCCUGUCUCAAAUAAAUUGAAAAAAAAAAAAUGCUGGACCAAGAGUAUAAUUUCAGGCAUCAAUUCUGUAGUUCCUUACUAGAGAAGUUUCUCUUAACAUGUACAACACUGGAAACCAUGAGGAGGUGGCAGCACAGCAUUCUCUGCUGAGCGUGAGGUUGGCUCUUGGUGUUGCUUUGCUGCAACUGUCAUUUGCCAUUGAUGAUGGUUCUUCUCUUCCUCCGAGGGAGAGAAUGCAGUCUGAGUGGGGGAAAAAGCCUGGGCCAUGGACUUAUAGACUGUUAACAUUGGAGUCUUGCUAGUGAACAUUUUAGCUAUGAUUGGAUUGUUUGGAUAGCUGAGUUUGAUAUUUACAAUAUCCCUAGCUUACCACUUAAUGUCUGCUCUUCUAGAUGCUGUCCUUUUCCCGUAUCUUGUUAGUAUUCUCUUUAACCCAUUUUUCAGCUAAGUGAAGUGUUAGUAUUCCCUCCUCUGACACUUGUUCACUCAGCACAAAGAAUUCCUACUGUUACCUCUCCAGAACCCUACGGUCAUUAUAGUUGAGGAAGCUGAUGCAGGUGGGAGAAAGGACCAGACGCAUGGACCAUGCUGUUAAGGGAACAGGGACAGAGUGGGUUUUAAUCUGGUUCACCCAUCCACUUACUAGUUUGUAACCUGAGAGCUUCCACUUCCCCAUCCCCAACAUGGGGACAUACUGUCAUGGGACUGUUGUGAAGAAUGACAUGCCACACAGAUGAGCAGUCCUAGCUAAUGUUAGCUGUUAAUGGGUGAAGGAAAAGCAGGCACUUAACAUGUGGAUAUAGGCUAUCCCUUAUCUUUGUCUUGUGACACCAUCCUCACUAGUUCACAAUUGCCCUUUCGUACAGGCUAAGCAUCCCUUAUCCGAAAUGCUUGGAACCAUUUGUGUUUCAGAUUUCUACUUUUUUCCAGACUUCGGAAUAUUUGUAUAUACUUAAGGUUUUUAUGUAUACUUUAUGAUCUUAGAUAAUUUUAGACAGGGUCCUGCUCUGUCACCCAGUCUUGAGUGUAAUGAUACAAACACGGCUCACUGAAGCCACAGGUACAUGCCACCACACUGCACUAAUUUAAAACAAAAUUUCUUGUAGAGGCUGGGAUAGGUUUAAGCAAUCCUCCUGCCUCAGCCUCCCAAAGUGCAGGAAUCGCAGGCAUGAACCACCAUGCCUGGCCUAUGGUUUUAAUAUACAGGUUGGGCAUUCCUUACCUGAAAAUCCAAAACGUUCCAAUGAGCAUUUCCUUUGCGUGUCACGUUUACGUUUUGGGUUUUGGGUAAGGGAUGCUCAAGCCAUGUAUUAAAAACACAAAACUAGCCAGGCAUGGUGGCUCAUACUUGCAAUCUCCCAGCACUUCGGGAGGUCAAGGCGUGCAGAUCACUUAACACCAGGAGAUUGAGGUUUUCCUACAAAAAAUUAGCCAGGCAUGGUGGCAUGCCUGUAGUCCCAGCUACUUGAGGGUGGCUGAGGUGGGAUGACCGAUUUGAGCCUGGGAGUUUGAAGCUGCAGUAAGCCAUGGCUGCACCACUGCACUCCAGCCUGGGCCACAGCAAAAGAACCCCUCUCAAAAAACUUAAAACAUAAAACUCUAAUACUGACACCUACAUACUCCUACCCAUUGUCAACUCCACCUUGCUCAAGGUCCUAAAUUGUUCACUAUCCCGUCUUUGGUAUUUAUUACUCUUAGCAGAUGCAUAUAUUUAAUGUCUUUUUUGAGCUUAUGAGAAGCCCCAAGUGUUGCUUUGAACAUUCCCAGGCAUGUAUCCUAUGUCCACAUGUAGUUUCUCUUGAGUAAUGCCUCAAAGUAGAACUGCCAUUUUCCCCAAGUAGUUGUAGUAACUUACACAAAUGGUCUUUUUCACAUUGACACGAGGAGUCCCGGCUAGAAGUCACGCUUUUCAUCACUGAAUGUCUUCAUCUACUAAAUGCUAAUGGAGGUAAGGAUAAGACUCAUUCAUGUGCCUGGCAUGUCAUUAGCUGCUCUGAACACACAAUACCCACGGUUUAUUAUAUAAAUCCAAGCCUGAAAAGUUGAAAAUUCCAUUCAUGGUAUUAUUAAUUGGCAAACAAAAAAAGCUCUUAGUUUUUGGAACACAGGUUUGAAUCUUUUUUUUUUUCCACUUUGUGUAACUGGAGACCUUAAUAAACUAUUAAGUAAACUUUCUGCACUCCUUCAGUGUUACCAUAAAACUCCCAAACAUUUGGUGAGACAUUACAUAGCUAAGUCUUGUUUUUUUACAACCUUGGGAUGUAGCAGUCAACAUUCAGCAUACGUCAAAGUUCGUUCUUAGGCAGGGUUGUAUAGGGUAAAUACCCAGGAGGCUUUCUAAAGCUGGUCUGUAUUACCCUCCACCCCCA
rnacentral:lncRNA from 1 species